GCCCGCAUAGCUCAGUGGUAGAGCGCGUCACUAGUAUGAUUCCAUCUUUAGGACUUCGAUCCUCAAGAACAGUCUCUGCGAUAUGACGAGGUCUUCAGUUCAACUCUGGAUGUGGGCA